rnacentral:rRNA from 1 species
UACGGAAGAGGCAAGCGUUAUCCGGAAUUAUUGGGCGUAAAGCGUCCGCAGGCGGCCUUGCAAGUCUGCUGUUAAAGAGUACAGCUCAACUGCGUUUCGGCGAUGGAAACUGCAGGACUGGAGUGCGGUAGGGGCAGAGGGAAUUCCCGGUGUAGCGGUGAAAUGCGUAGAUUUCGGGAAGAACACCAGUGGCGAAGGCGCUCUGCUGGGCCGUAACUGACGCUCAUGGACGAAAGCUAGGGG